ACGGGGCCCGCACAAGCGGAGGAACAUGUGGUUUAAUUCGAUGGUACGCGAGGAACCUUACCUGGGUUUGACAUACGGAGGGAAGUGGCAGCGAUGUCACUGUGUCGCGAGACGACUCCGUACAGGUGCCGCAUGGCUGUCGUCAGCUCGUGCCGUGAGGUGUUGGGUUAAGUCCCGCAACGAGCGCAACCCCUACUGCCAGUUACUAACAGGUGAAGCUGAGGACUCUGGCGGAACUGCCUGUGACAAACCGGAGGAAGGUGGGAUGACGUCAAGUCAUCAUGGCCCUUAUGUCCAGGGCUACACACGUGCUACAAUGGGCGAGACAGAGCGACGCGAAGCCGCGAGGUGGAGCAAAUCGCAGAAAAUCGCCCUCAGUUCGGAUUGGAGUCUGAAACCCGACUCCAUGAAGGUGGAAUCGCUAGUAAUCGCGCAUCAGCAUGGCGCGGUGAAUACGUUCCCGGGCCUU
rnacentral:rRNA from 1 species